rnacentral:rRNA from 1 species
AUUGAACGCUGGCGGCACGCCUAACACAUGCAAGUCGAGCGGAACGGCGGACGGGUGAGUAAUUCCUAGGAAUCUGCCUGGUAGUUGGGGAUAACGUCCGGAAACGGGCGCUAAUUCCUCACACUCUCAGCUGAGCCUAUGUCGGAUUAGCUAGUUGGUUGGGUAAAGGCCUACCAAGGCGACGAUCCGUAACUGGUCUGAGAGGAUGAUCAGUCAAACUGGAACUGAGACACGGUCCAGACUCCUACGGGAGGCAGCAGUGGGGAAUAUUGGACAAUGGGCGAAAGCCUGAUCCAGCCAUGCCGCGUGUGUGAAGAAGGUCUUCGGGUUGUAAAGUACUUUAAGUUGGGAGGCGUUACCAACAGAAGAAGCACCGGCUAACUACGUGCCAGCAGCCGCGGUAAUAC